rnacentral:lncRNA from 10 species
GCCGCCCCCAAUAAUGGCCAGAAUAAAAGUUUGGCGGCGGCGGCGCCCAAUGGCAACAGCAGCAGCAACUCCUGGGAGGAAGGCAGCUCGGGCUCGUCCAGCGACGAGGAGCACGGUGGCGGUGGCAUGAGGGUCGGACCCCAGUACCAGGCGGUGGUGCCCGACUUCGACCCCGGCUGGAGUCCAGUGGCAUGAUCUCGGCUCACUGCAAC